GCAGGCGUGGGGAGUAGGGGGAGUUGCUGACUUGUCGUGCUUUUGAGCGGCGCGAGGUUGUUGCGACCGUUGUGAAUGUUUGGGUCUUGUGAGGCGGGUGCGCGUCACCUUCAGAGAACGAGUAGCUCUACUUUCUUGGGUAUCUUCCUGAAGGAGUUGGGGGGGGCUGUGUAAGCCUAGCGUGCUACGGCCCUGUUGAAUGCUUUGGUCUUAGCAGGGUGCCCAUAGGUGGCCUGAGGCCGUGUUCCUUCCUUUGGCGUUAGGCAGUGCAGGCAGGCUGCAGUUCAGGCAGGCUCCUUGCUAGGGGUCCCGGACCUAGUAAAAGGGGGCCACAAAAGGGCAACAAACCUCAGUUUUGUCUUCCAUGCUAUGUGGGACACAGGUGGUUGGCCUAUAUAGAUAGGGGAAUAUAUUGCAAUGUGAAUUCCAGUUGUGUCUUAAUUGGAACAUAAAGCUCAGGAUUUAUACAGAAUGACUUUUUAUUUUCUACUGUGACACCUAGCUCCUAGGCACUUGUUUCUGGUUUAGUGUACAAGUGGGUGCAUAUGGUGCUGCCAAGAUUAAAUAAAACUAAAAUAUCCCCACAAGAAUUUACCAUACUUACAAGUUAGGCAGUUGUACUUUAUGCCAUUAAAUUCUCUCACUAGCAGGAGGAAGAUCCUUUAGCUCAGUUUUCCUAUGCUGAAUGUCAGUUGCAUCGUAAGCUGAGCCUUCAGCUGUCUGUGUCUAUGGAUGGGUUAACUGGAAGGGUUAACUUUGCUGAACCUGUAAGUGAUUCUGCCCCGAGCUGACUACUUUCAGAAUGUUUUUCGCCUGGGACAAAGAGGAAGGCUUGUUACAUGAAAACCACGUGCCUUCUUGCUCUGUAGCAGCAUUUAAAAAACAAAACAAAACAAAAAGCCUGCACAGAGAUUCAGCAUUUAUUUAUGGAAAAAGAACUGUGAGGGUAACAUCUGUACCUCAGUGGUAGAUAAGGCUUCUGACUGCUUGAAAGAGAGCCCUGCAAAUACUACAGUCUUGGAAGUGUUUCCUCACAAAGAUCCUGCACUCUGAGGAAGAACACAGGGAAAAUCAGCUGUGCAACAGGGCAACUUUUGGCCUUACACGUGUGGAUGAAGACGCUUCCCUUGCAUUUCACCUGGAAGAUGCUCUGAGGUUCCAGCAUUAAGCAUGUUCCCUGCUCUGCUUUGACACACAUCGCCCUGCACGGCACAGAGCCUGGCCAGCUUCCUCCUCCCUCCUGGCUCCAUGAGCCUCCCAGCAGGGAUGCAGCUCCAAGGCAAGAGUUUGCUGUGCAGCUCUAAGACCCCUUCAUACACCUUCUCCAUAAUCUUCUACUUCAAACAGUUUGUUAUAAGAGGAAGUGGAAAAAAUGCCUGUCAUUAUUUCUAGAUCCCCAACACAGCUUCAGAAUUACCUGGGAGAACAGAAGAGAAAAGGCUCUGGAGAACAGAUGCAGUACAGCAGGAAACUUUGCCAUGAGCCCGGGCCAUUCUGAUGGCUCAAUAUAUGGUGAUUUAUUGAAAGCAAAGGUGUUUGUUUGUUUGUUUUUUGGCUUAGGCAUUAUUAUUCUUAAUCUAGAGAAGAAGCCCAGAAGACAGUUGCAUGAAUUCCUAUCUCCAUAAAGAAAAUGUAUCAUAAGGGGCAUCUUCCUGCCGCCACUCUUUGGAGAUAAAGCCAGCAACCAUUACGAACUCUAGCACAAGCCAUUAAGUUCAGCUGAGAGAGGUAGGAUGAGGGAGAGGUUCCAUCCAUUGCAUCAUGCCCACCCUGGUAGGAGCAGGCUGGGGGCUGCAAGUGCAGGGAGCUGGAAAGCCCAGCAGGCACAGGGGGACAGCAAGGGAACUCUUAUGUGGGAGCUGACACUGUGAAAUUGAAACUGUGCUGUGAAAAGUGAUCUGAGUACUGCCUAUUAGCAAGUGCUGUUAUGCCUGAAGAAAAUGAAAAAUUGCAGUAGACUCAAAUUUCCUCCCAAGUUAAAUCACACUGAUGGCAAGCUCCCUCCAUGGGUAAUAAAAAGAAUCUGAAAUAAGGAGACACGACAUGCAAGGGGCUCAAAGGAGAGCCCUCUAGCACCAUGGAAGUAAUUUCAGUUGGCUGGGAAAAGGAAGUUCUCAUUUGUCAAGCUAAAUUCUCUCUCCGCUUGUUUGCUGUGGCUGCCAGGAGCUCUGACUUCCCCUUGCAGUGGGGAGCUGGUGGGUGUAAUCCCUGCUGCUGGAUACCUUACAAAUAGAAGCAACCAAGUCUUGUUUCAUCUAAUUUAAUGGCACAGCUGCAAGAUGGAAUAGUUUUUCUCCUUUUUUUUUGCCACUGACAUGGCAGAUGCGGUCCUCAUGUGUUGAUGCAGGCUGUGGUACUGCAGCCAUUUGCGCCCCUCCUUUCUCAUUUGCACACAGAUCCAGCUGGGAUGAUUCCUGUUGCCCCUUGCACAGCCCAUGUCAUGCACCCAUCCGAUCUCCUGUGUGCAGGUCACCACUUGAGUAACGUGGAACGAGCUGCCUGCCUGAAGAACAGCCUAGGCUUUUCUUAGAGCUGCUGCCAAUAUAUUUUCUCCCAGACAAGAAGAUCCUUUUGGCCACUGCUAGGCACUGUCAGCCUAACAUCAGCAUGACCAGCACUGACCUGUGACUUCCCCUUCACCCUCUCUCUUUUAUCAACAAGUUGCUGGUGUAACGGCAGAAGCCUCCUGCUCAGCCUGCAGCUAACAGUGUGGAAGGUGCAGCCAGUGGCUUGGCUUUGGAUGGAAACACAGCAUUUGUGGGAAAAAAAAACAUAUUUUUUCAAUAUAUUAGCUGAAACAGCAGGAAAACAAAGCAGCGAGGUCUAAGGCACUCAUAGCACAAUCACUGGAGCCAUGCUCAAUUUGCCUUGCUGCCCCAGCAGCAACAGUGCAGCAUCACCAGAUCCUGAAAAUAUCUGUCCCUUUGUUUCCGAUUCCCACUACUCCUUAGCACGCACACCAGCCUCUUUAUCAAGCUGGAGAGGGGGAGAACAGCAACCGUAUUUCUGAUAGACCAGCACUAGCAAAGAAUGUCCUGUUAUCUGCACCCUGCCCCGAAAACACUCAGAUAGGAGAUUGUUGAAGUGACAGCACCCUCCCACUCACCCUCCAACUUGCGUCCCAGCAUGCUGCCAUGCUUGCAACAUGGUUGCCAAACCACGCGAUGCCCAGGAGCCCAGCUCCAGCAGCAAGCAUUUGCAGUUCUCCUUCAAAAAGCAGCAGAGAAGUAAAUAUGUAUUUGAAUAACUAACAACGUUUUAACAUACUGAAAAAUCAUAUUCCCUUGGAUCUUGAAAAAUUAAUUAAUCCAAAGCUCUCUUAAAAUUGCCUUUGAUAACCAAAGAGGAAAAACAAUGAGAGACUUCAAGUUUUCAUGUAUUUUAUUUACAAGCCACACGAUACAUUUAUAUACAAAUGGCUUAAAAUAACGAAGGGUAAGCAAGCUGAAGCAUAACAGUUUGAUUAUUUUAAAUUAUGUUGUCUUGAAAUAACUCCUGCAAUAAAGUAUUCUUCACCCUGAUAAGCAAAAGUUAGUUCAACUUUAACCCAAGGUCAUUUCAUUUUUUAAAUACAGAAUUUGUAUCACUUUUCUGUGAUUCUUCAUCUUCUUAACACACUCAUGUAUGAAGAACAUCCCACAACCAUCAAGAAGGGAAACAGCCAAAUUUCCUCCUAUACAAAUCCUGUAACAACAGACUGGAGAAAUGCUGCAUGUAAAAUGCUCGUGUGUUUCAUUAACUAAAGAGAAUGAAAGAAAUACAUGAGAUUUCCUCUCUUGGAAACAGAAUUCACUGUCUGAGAUCCAAUUUGCCCACAGACAAGAGGAAUCGUGUAUUCUCACUGUCGGUGACCAAACAGAUCCCAAUGCAACUGCAACACACCAGAACCCACCUGCAGCAGGGACCAGCAGAAGGGCAGAGCUCUAAACCAUGGAGAGCUCAACACUACAGCACUCGGCACCUCUGCUUUCACACUGCCAUGGCAAGAAGAAAAUUCAACAUAGACUGUUUUGUGGAAACAUAAGAAAAUACAGAAAUUUGCCAUUUAAUUUCUGCCCACCUCCCAAGGAAAUUAUAUUAACAUUUAAAGACAUGUAUUUUUACACCCCUUCCCAAACACCAUUCCUUCUGUUUCAGGUAACAACUAGCAAUCCACGAUAGAAGUCAGUUCCUUUUCCUUUGGCUGAUUUUAAGUGUUCUAAUACUCUAAGUGUCUUAAGUCACAUCCACAGCAGUCCAGUCGUACUCACAUUUCUCCUCUUGGUAUGGCUAACGACCGCUCAGUAUAAAUAAUGAACACUUGCUACUCCACAGUCCAUGGUUACAGUACUUUGCUAUGUUUUAGAAACACAAGCACACAACACUUACUUUUUGAUGUGGUGUCCAGGUCUCUGUAGCACACUUUGGAAUUGUAGCACAGAAAAUGUAAACCCAGAGGAAGGUGGGAAAGUAACAAAAGCCAUGGCUCCACAGAAAAUCACGCGGCUUUCAGAAUGCCUGCUACUGCAGCAGAAACGCAAUGGCCACGCGAAGCCAAAAGUUGCACUAGCACUGACUCACUCUGCUAAGUGAAGUUUGUUCAAAAGGGCCAAAUUCUGAACUGAUGUAAGCACCUCGUAAUAUGGUACAGAAAAGAAAUGUUGAUAAAUCACACACAGGGCCAGCACAACCAAAGGUGGGCAGCCCUCGGGCCUGGCCAACUCCUAGACCAGGCCCAGACCAGGGGAAGCCAGGCAGAUCCCCAGGCUGCAGAGAAGGCAUAGGCCUCCUUCCUCAGCCAUCAUCCCAUGCUGACUGCCCCCCCCGUGCUACACCAGCACCGCUGUCCCAGGCAAAUAGUCUUCGGUCACAGGCUAGUAAUCCUUAAACUGAAUUUGGGGAAAUAUGCAUCUGCAACAGUGUACAAGUUUUGGUUUAGAUCCAUCUGCAAGUCAGCUGUCUACUCCAUCUCCUUUGAAUCCAUCACAGCCACAGUUAGUCACGUUGGCUUUGCUUUUACAUCUGCAGACUAAAAUCCAUCUCAGCAGAGCAAUGCAGCAGCAGUGAUGCCAGCCAGCAAUGGCACUGCACUGCCCGUCCUUCACUUAGAGACUGACAGCUCUGCAUUAAAUGAACUAAAAUAACCUAAUGUUUACCUCCAGGAAGGAUGCAGGAAACAUUAAAACUGCCUUACAUUUUUGUACUGAAAGUCAAACCUCCUUGAAAUCUACCCUCCAUUUGAACUCGCCUGCUUUUUUUUUUUCCAAUUUACACUGCAAGUGCAGCAGAGUACCACUAGACUGCACAUUUUUAGUGAAAACAAUGGCCUAAGAGCUUUAGAAGUCUUACUUGACUCGAAAAAACCAACUAUCUGAACCUCUUGGGAAUUUUUUUCUAUCAGUUAGUAAACAAAAAAGCCUCAGCUGACACUGUCCGUACCUAAACGAGAAUAAUGAUUUCUGCCUUUAAAAUUCAACUAGCAGAAAAAUGUUACUGAGGUGUCCUUAUUCAAGGAAGUCUACCUACUGCACUGUCAAAUUGUGGUUUUCCUAAAGCACACGGCCACAAGCAUUUGUUCCUGACUGUCUGGGUUGAUUUUGUUUUCAGAGGGCAAGAUUCCCUUCUGUGCCUUGUAAAGGCAGCUGCCGGGCUUACAGGGACAUCUCCAUCUCCCAGAUCCUCACUCUACACUGUCAGCACAGUGACUUUCUCCAUGCUCUGCAACGUGGUACUUGGCCAUAAACAAGAACUAGGUUUUUAAAUUAAAACAAAACAUCAACAACUUUGGCUUCUAUUCUGAAAGUCCAAAAAGUCACUGACAAGACUACAUUUGAAAGAGUGUAAGUAGAAAUUUUACUUUUUAAAAAGUAAUAAUUAAACACUCAGUUACAUAAGGUACCGAUUUGUCAACUGGAUAAUCAGUUGGAAAAUUGUUUCCAAUAUGGGCUUUAAAAACAUUCUUUUACGUACAUGCAAAAUAUAACCAUACCUCCUCUCUGCAGGAGAGGGACCACUUGUCGUCACAGGAAAAAAAACAUGCUCGAUGUUAUGAUUAUUGAGGAGUGGCUCUUGGUUAAUUAAGAGUUUUAACUACAGUCAUUUUAUCAGUUGUUCAGAGAGACUCAAUUCCGACACUAGAAUACUUGGUGGAAUAGCAGAUACAAGGACGAUUAGUUGGCACAAUCAAGAGUUUACAGAAUUAGAACUAGUGUAAAAUGUUUGCUUUUAAUACUGGUCAUUUGUCCUUUGUUUACUUCCCAUAAUGCAGUAGUUGUUGUAAAAAGGAGAUAGUGUCAGCUUUUCACAUACAGUAAUUACUGCUGUUGACAUUUAAGAGGAAAAACUUUUUCACCACUUGGAAAGGACAUAACAAGCAUAGUUUAUUUGGCAGAGGAAGUAAAUCAAUUACUACAACUCCAAAGAGGAGCUGAGGAAAAACUACGCUCUUCACUCUUCUCACUUUUGUAGCUUCUUACGAAGUUCAAUUUGGAAAUUAUGACUUGAUCAAGGUAAGAUUAGAUGUCUAAAUAACUGGUCCACAUGAAGUAAACAACAGAAAGUUAUGACCUAUUUGAGUUUCCUAAUAUUAUCUGAUUUUCUUAACUAUCUAGGUUUCAGUAUUACUUUAGCAUUGAUUUAUAGAGUACUUCCAACUUUUGCAGACCUUAAGCUUACGUGUUAAGGCACUUACCAUUCAAGUAAAACAGUUUAUAUAUAAACAAGCCCGGGAGAUGGAGAGAACAUUUUACCAGAACAUCCAUUCUUUUUUUCUUUUCUUUUUUUUCUUUUUUUUUUUUUUUUGGAAAGAAAAAAUUAACAUUGACCAAAUAUUUAUAAAAUUUUGCAUCAAGAGAAAGGUUGUGUUUUAUUAUCUGAAAUGAGCACAAAGUACGCCUUCCACAAUAACACUGAAAGCAGUGCAAUGACUGACAGUGACCUUUGACUAAAGGUAGUUCUGUAAAAAGAAAAAUACCAAAUAAAUCAGUGCCCUGCUUU